rnacentral:rRNA from 1 species
GACAGAGGGGGCAAACGUUGCUCGGAAUUACUGGGCGUAAAGGGCGCGUAGGCGGGAUGGCAAGUCGGUCGUGAAAUCCUUCGGCUCAACCGAAGAACGUCGAUCGAUACUGCUGUUCUUGAGGGUUGCAGAGGAGACUGGAAUUCCCGGUGUAGCGGUGAAAUGUGUAGAGAUCGGGAGGAACACCGGUGGCGAAGGCGGGUCUCUGGGCAAUUCCUGACGCUGAGGCGCGAAAGCGUGGGGAGCAAACGGG